rnacentral:rRNA from 1 species
GCCGCGGUAAUACGUAGGGUGCAAGCGUUAAUCGGAAUUACUGGGCGUAAAGCGUGCGCAGGCGGUUUGUUAAGACAGAUGUGAAAUCCCCGGGCUCAACCUGGGAACUGCAUUUGUGACUGGCAAGCUAGAGUAUGGCAGAGGGGGGUGGAAUUCCGCGUGUAGCAGUGAAAUGCGUAGAUAUGCGGAGGAACACCGAUGGCGAAGGCAGCCCCCUGGGCCAAUACUGACGCUCAUGCACGAAAGCGUGGGGAGCAAACAGGAUUAGAUACCCUGGUAGUCCACGCCCUAAACGAUGUCAACUAGUUGUUGGGGAUUCAUUUCCUUAGUAACGUAGCUAACGCGUGAAGUUGACCGCCUGGGGAGUACGGUCGCAAGAUUAAAACUCAAAG